rnacentral:lncRNA from 1 species
AGGCUUUAAAAUACAUAACUAAGAAACAUAACAGUUUAAGGUUUUAGCAACACCAGUCGUUUGCUUUUAAGUAGUUAUUAAUUAGAUAGAGAAUGAUAUAGGACCAACAAACCUUUUAGCCCUUAAUUAUUCAAGAAGGUGGAAGGUGAUGAUGUCAGAGGCAGAGGGAGCAUGAAGGGCAUGGUUUGGGUAAUGGUGGUGAUGGUUCUGGUGGAAACGAAGAGCGUAAGCACGCGACCCUUCGAUUUGAUAUCCAAGAACUGAGUCGUAAUCUCCUCCAUUGUCUACUAGUCCAUAGUGGGGAUCUUCAGCUCUUAGUUCC